rnacentral:lncRNA from 1 species
CUCCCAAGUAGCUGGGAUUACAGGCAUGCACCACCACACCCAGCUAAUUUUUUUUUUUUUUUUUUUUUUUUACUUUUAGUGGAAACGGGGUUUCAUCAUGUUUGCCAGGCUGCUCUCAAACUCCUGACCUCCAGUGAUCCACCCUCCUCGGCCUCCCAAAGUGCUGGGAUUACAGGCGUGAGCCACUGCACCUGGCCCAAAGUUUGAAAUAUUGUUAAAGACUGUUUGGAGAGGCAAAACCAUUAAGAAAGGGGAGAGGUUGAAGAUUUGACUCUAGACCUCAAAGAACCUGGUCAAACAGCUGCAUUUGUCUCUCCCCCAAACUGACUUGCAUAAUACUUUUAUGUUUUACAAAAUUAAGUAAUCUUAUUUCUAUAUUUGCAUCUCCAUUAUUUUUUCGGUUGCUGAAAUUCCAGGAGUUGGCAGUUGCAGUUCCUACUGAUUCUCUGUGUAUCAGUGAAGACUAGUAACCUCAAUACACAUGUGACUUGCUUGCGCAGCUUCCUGUCCUUCAAUUCCCACCAUACCCAGAUGACUCUUCCAAAAAUAAUUCCUUUGCAGUAAAGCAUUCUUCUCAAUUUUGAAGACAGAUAAUUCUUUGCAGUUACUUCCUCAUUCAGUUGUAUCACCAGAACAGCCACUGGGCCUCUGUGCUACAUUUCAUGAUGCCAAUAUCUAUUUCUUGUUUUGGAUUAUGAGUUUCUUGAGGACAAGAACUAUGCUUUAUUUGCCUUCAUAUCCCGAGUAUCCCUUACAGGACCUUCACAC